rnacentral:rRNA from 1 species
UACGUAGGGGGCUAGCGUUGUCCGGAAUCAUUGGGCGUAAAGAGCGUGUAGGCGGUCCGGUAAGUCCGCUGUUGAAAGUCGGGGGCUCAACCCUCGAAUGCCGGUGGAUACUGUCGGGCUAGAGUGCGGAAGAGGCGAUGUGGAAGUUCCGUGGUGUAGCGGUGGAAAUGACGCAGAUAUCAGGAGGAACAACCUAUUGCGAAGGCAGCUCGCUGAGACGUUACUGACGCUGAGACGCGAAAGCGUGGGGAGCGAAACAGG